AACGAACGCUGGCGGCAUGCCUAACACAUGCAAGUCGAACGAUUGCCGUCGGGUGAUAGUGGCGCACGGGUGCGUAACGCGUGGGAAUCUGCCCGUAGGUUCGGAAUAACAGCUGGAAACGGCUGCUAAUACCGGCUGAUAUCGCGAGAGCAAAGAUUUAUCGCCUGAGGAUGAGCCCGCGUUGGAUUAGGUAGAUGGUGGGGUAAAGGCCUACCAAGCCGACGAUACAUAGCUGGUCUGAGAGGAUGAUCAGCCACACUGGGACUGAGACACGGCCCAGACUCCUACGCGAGGCAGCAGUGGCGAAUAUUGCACAAUCGGCGCAAGCCUGAUCCAGCAAUGCCGCGUGAGUGAUAAAGGCCGUAGGGUUGUAAAGCUCUUUUACCCGGGAAGAUAAUGACUGUACCGGGAGAAUAAGCCCCGGCUAACUCCGUG
rnacentral:rRNA from 1 species